UUCUAAGGAACUAUUGUGGAGAUAAGUCGUAUGCUUCCAGCAGUAAGUCUCCCUUAUCUGUCUAAAGCUGCAUACCUUGGUUGCUGCAUGGAGUGCAAAACUGGAUGAGUGAAGCAUGAUGUACUCGAUGGUCUCUUUGUGUAUAUGCUUGCUCUGGUACUUUGCUAGCAGAUCUGUAAGCAAAAACAAAAACACAAGGAUCACGGUUCUCACAUGUAUUCAUCUUUGGUAGCAUACCAGAUCCGCCUGAGAAUUUCCAUUUUUAGUAUGAUAACUGGCUAUUAAUCAUUCCUGGCCAAACCAAAUCGCAGAUGUGAUCUCAAGUAGAGAUUGGAAAUGCCUCGUGUGGCCCAGGAAGCUGAUACAAUGAACAGAGAGAUUGAGUUGCUCAUAACCAUACAUACAGGAGUCCUGAGGAAACAACCUAUGCGUUCUCCUCCGGAUACACAAAACUCAUCUGGGAGGCAUCACAAUUUUUGAAGUUGCCAUGACACCAACUCAGAUGACGCCAGAAUUUUGAGUUCCGUAAGUUUGCCAAGAGUCAUUAUAGUUUGUUUAACUCAUGCAAGUAGAGACUCUGUUUCUAUAAUUCCAAUCUGAUCGAAUGAGCAGUGUUUUAUCUGGUGAUUCGUACAAUCCAAUCCGAGGAUAGUACGGAUCGCGACCUUUUGUCUUGACCAUCGUAGCAUUAUGAGAUCAUCAAUUUUGUAUCUU